rnacentral:rRNA from 1 species
ACGUGCUACAAUGCCGGUACAAAGGGCUNCGACUGCCGCAAGGUACAAGCGGACCCUAAAAAGCCGGCUCAGAUUGGAUCGGGGUCUGCAACUCGACCCCGUGAAGUCGGAGUCGCUAGUAAUCGCAGAUCAGCAACCUGCGGUGAAUCGUUCCCGGGCCUUGUACACACCGCCCGUCAAGUCAUGAAAGUCGGUAACACCCGAAGCCAGUGGCCNNACCCUCGGGAGGGAGCUGUCCAAGGUGGGAUNGGCGAUUGGGGUGAAGUCGUAACAAGGUAACCGUAGGGGAACCUGCGGUUGGAUCACCUCCUUA